rnacentral:rRNA from 2 species
GACGAGCCACCCGAACGUUAUUCGGAAUUACUGGGCUUAAAGGGUGCGUAGGCGGUGUAGCAAGUCGGGAGUGAAAUACCCCAGCUUAACUGAGGAAUUGCUUUCGAUACUGCUGCGCUUGAGUGAGACAGAGGUAAGCGGAACUUAGGGUGGAGCGGUGAAAUGCGUUGAUAUCCUAAGGAACACCGGUGGCGAAGGCGGCUUACUGGGUCUCAACUGACGCUGAGGCACGAAAGCUAGGGUAGCAAACGGG